GAUAGAUAGAUAGAUAGAUAGAUAGAUAGAUAGAUAGAUAGAUAGAUAGAUAGAUAGAUAGAUAGAUAGAUAGAAGCAGGAUCCCAGAGGAGGAUCCUGUAAAUGUUUUCUUUCUGUUUAAGGUUCUCAGGAAGUCAGCAGGUCAAAGAAGAGGUGAACAGAGGGUGAUACUGAUGAAUUUAGUGGAUCAGGUCCAUUUAUCACUGUCCUCCAUCUAUCUCCAACCAGGGACUUGAAAUACAGCCAGAUUCCACAUUAAAUUUGACUAAGCAGCCUCUUUAAGUCCAGAAAUAUGGCAGGACCUCAUCCUUAUGUUCUGCUUUACCAUCACACUGAUUUCACUGUCAGUGGAGUCACCCUUUGAUGAACGCUGGAGAGAAUACAGGUGUAAUACAUUUCUGUAUUGGUUUCCCUUUAAAACUAAGAAAUAACAUCAGCUGCAAACAGUCUGUGAUUGGUCCUGUCAGUUGUGUUUGUUUAGACUUGACCCAGACAGUGCCCCCUGCUGGUGAGUAUUAUGAAGCACAUAAACAAAUAUUUAUAUCUGACUACACCACCAUUUGUCUGGUUAUUACAGCUCCAUGAAACCACAGCUGACAGAAAGCACUGAAACAAAGACUCCAGGAUCACAGAGAACAAGAAUAAGAAGAAAAAGAAAAGGUGAACAAGAAUGAGAAGAAGAAGAAGAAGAAGAAGAAGAAGGUGAUCAAGAAUGAGAAGAAGAAGAAGACAAAGAAGAAGAAGAAGAAGAAG